UAGAGCUCUCUCAGAACAGUCAUUCGGCUACUCAUGCAUCCUCUUCAGGUAUGGAUGCUUACAUAGCUUCUCCUCAUGAACCAUGGGUACUAGAUUCUGGAGCCUCAUCCCAUAUGACAGGACCUAGCAACUGGGAUGACGAUUGGUUCGGGGCAUGAGAGAGGAGGUAUGUACUAUUUGGACGACAGUGUGCCGGGUGAUGGUUUUGUUGCAGCACAGCCUGAUUCUACCUUACUGUCGCACUGGCGUCUGGGUCAUCCUUCACUAUAGAAACUUAGAUCGGUAGUUACUGUUCAGUCUUCCCUUUCUUCUUUAGGUUGUGAGUCAUGUGAACUGGGUAAGCACCAUCGUGCUUCUUUUCAGAGUCGUGUCGAUAAGCGCAGUAGUUUUGUGUUUGAGUUAGUUCAUUCUGAUGUCUGGGGUCCUUGUCGUGUUCCCUCUGUGAAGGGUUUUUGAUAUUUCAUUGUUUUUGUUGAUGAUUUCUCUCGCAUGACUUGGCUAUAUUUGUUGAAAGAGAGGUCUGAAGUCCCGCAUGUUAUUGAACUUUUUUAUAAUGAAAUAAAAACCCAGUUCUUUAAUUCUGUUUA